rnacentral:rRNA from 1 species
UACGUAGGGUGCGAGCGUUAAUCGGAAUUACUGGGCGUAAAGCGUGCGCAGGCGGUCUGUUAAGACCGAUGUGAAAUCCCCGGGCUUAACCUGGGAACUGCAUUGGUGACUGGCAGGCUUUGAGUGUGGCAGAGGGAGGUAGAAUUCCACGUAUAGCAGUGAAAUGCGUAGAGAUGUGGAGGAAUACCAAUGGCGAAGGCAGCCCCCUGGGUUAACACUGACGCUCAUGCACGAAAGCGUGGGGAGCAAACAGG